rnacentral:rRNA from 1 species
GAUGAACGCUGGCGGCGUGCCUAAUACAUGCAAGUCGAGCGAACAGACGAGGAGCUUGCUCCUCUGACGUUAGCGGCGGACGGGUGAGUAACACGUGGAUAACCUACCUAUAAGACUGGGAUAACUUCGGGAAACCGGAGCUAAUACCGGAUAAUAUAUUGAACCGCAUGGUUCAAUAGUGAAAGACGGUUUUGCUGUCACUUAUAGAUGGAUCCGCGCCGCAUUAGCUAGUUGGUAAGGUAACGGCUUACCAAGGCAACGAUGCGUAGCCGACCUGAGAGGGUGAUCGGACACACGGGAAGUGAGACAGGGUCCAGACUCCUACGGGAGGCAGCAGUAGGGAAUCUUACGCAAUGGGCGAGAGCUUGACGGAGCAACGCCGCGUGAGUGAUGAAGGUCUUCGGAUCGGAAAACUCUGUUAUUAGGGAAGAACAAAUGUGUAAGUAACUAUGCACGUCUUGACGGUACCUAAUCAGAAAGCCACGGCUAACUACGUG